rnacentral:lncRNA from 1 species
UUUUUUUUUUUCUUUUUGGUCUUUUUAGGGCCACACCCACAACGUAUGGAAGUUCCCAGGCUAGGGGUAAAAUCAGGGCUCUAGCUGCCUACACCACAACCACAGUCACACAGGUUUUGAGCCCUAUCUGUGACCUACACCACAGCUCAUGGCUAUGCCGGAUCCUUAACCCACUGAGCAAGGCCAGGGAUGGAACCCACAUCCUCAUGGAUACUAGUCAGUUUCACUUCCGCUGAGCCUCGAAAGGAACUCCUGUACAUGACUUUUUAUUGUGACCCACUAAGAAAACUUCUUGUAAAAGGGCAAAGUAUCCACAUAUUUGUAUUAUUUUUAAGUUUGCUAUGUAAUAGAGUCCAAAGAAGUCCUGUUAUUAAUUAGAAUGUCUUGACCACAGAAGGCAGGGCUCUCCUCCAACAUUUGUUGGUAGGAGGAAGGAUUUUUUUUAAGCGAACAUUUUGUCGAAGUAUAACAAACACAAGAAAAGCCCAGAUCUUAUGUGAACACCUUGAUGGGCUAUCACAAAGCAAGCACCUCGGUGCAGCAUCUACCAAAAUGAAGAUAGAACUUACUGGAGUUCCCUGGUGGCUCAGCGGUCACCAACCAGACUAGUAUCCAUGAGGAUGCAGGUUCGAUCCCUGGCCUCACUCAGUGGAUUAAGGAUCCAACCUCACCGUGAGCUAUGGUGCAGGUCGCAGACACAGCUCAGAUCUCAAGUUGCUGUGGCUGUGGCGUAGGCUGGCAGGUGUAGCUCCGAUUGGACCCCUACCCGGGGAACUUCCGUAUGUCACAGGUCAUAUGGAGGUUCCCAGGCUACAGGUGGAAUAGGAACUAUGGCUGCCAGUCUACACCACGACCACAGCAAUGCGGGAUCCGAGCCAUGUCUGUGACCUAUACGCCGCAGCUCGUGGCAGCACUGGAUCCUUAACCCACUGAAUGAGGCCAGGGUUUGAACCCGCAUCCUCAUGGAUACAAGUAGCAUUCUUAAACUGCUGAGCCACAACAGGAAAUCCCCACUGCUGUCUUUCCAACAGGUCCCAGCUUUUUCUGAGGGGUCCCAGAUGUUUUUCGAUAAAAUAUUUCACCUCUCCACUAGUUCUGCUCUCACUUUCCAUCCGCCAGACAUCAGGGUGUUUCAGGGGAAGGACACUGGGUCUCUGGGGUUUAGUCCUUCUGCUUUUGUGGCUCAUUAGUAAGGCUGUGUGGACUUUUGAAACGAGUGCCAUGUCUGUACUUUGCAACUCCUUCCAGUGACUACAGGGCUGGCAUUGGGCAGCGUGGCUGAGACCAGGGGUUGUGACCUGUGGCUUCCUCACUGCAGAAGCCCUCGUCAUCCCUGAUAGAAGGCAGCCAUCCGUGUGGGGAUGCCCGAAGGCGACUCCUUGCGGCGGCUCUCCCAGUGACAAACCCAUCAAGCAGGCAUUGGCUUGUUGUUUUACUGGGGGAGAAAAAUAGCAUCAAUACAAGAAGCGCUGCACAGAUCUGUUAAUUCAGUGCAGAAUGCAGACCAGCUCGUCUGAUGGCUUCGCCAGUUGACAUGAAGGCAAGGCCAGUUAACCUGGGCCAAGGGUUCUGAUGGACCCUUAGAGUCGCUUCAGGCAAGCAUAUUCCUCCUCGAAAGGAACAAAAAAGGACUAUAAGCUAGAUGGUUUCAGGGGGCUUGGUAACUUUCCAUUUCUUCACUAGGGUGGUGAGUAUGUGGGCAUUUGCUUCCUUAUCCCCAUCACACAUGUACACCUUAUAUAGACAUACAGUGUGAACUAAAUAUUUUAUAACUUAAAAUGAAUCAAUGAUGGGAUGGGAGAUAGCUGGGUUUGUGGUGCUGAAAAUAGAAAGGGUGAUGAGAGAGGGUGUGGGGGGCUUCAGAACCUCCCCAGGCUGGAAUUUUUAUUCUGGAAGACCAGAGAAGACAUCCCAUCCUUUCUGCUGAGCGUAGAUUUUCUACCACACAAGACUUCAGAAUGUCCCAACUCUAUUUCUGACCCUUUAGGAACAGAGUCUUACUCCUUCUUUAACUCUGACCCCAUCCUUAAAGUUGCUGCAGCCAACCAGUGAGUCAGUGACCCUUCCUAGAUGCUGGAAUCACUCACCCUUGUGACAGGCCCAUGUGAGUUUGCAAUCACAGUGGCCUACUUUGGGGAAGGGCUUAUGCUGGGUGGGGAAUCUAAGUGACUGGAGGAGCCCUUUUCCCAGCUGAUGAAGGGCUGCAAGGCCCUCAUGACAGACAACCUUAGCGUUCCGACAAAAAUUGCUAGAGAGUUUUAGGGGGGCACUAGAAUACACCAGCUGGGACCUAAUGCAGAGAACCCAUGUCUAGAGAACAGUCUGGAUAAGAUCUAUGGCUGCCAUGAGUUCCCGUUGUGGCUCAGCAGGUUAAGAACCCAACUAGUAUCUAUGAGGAUGUGGGUUGGAUCCCCAGCCUCUCUCACUUUGGGUUAAGGAUCCGGUGUUACCGUGAGCUGUGGUGUAGAUGUGGCUUGGAUCCUGCAUUGCUGUGGCUGUGGCAUAGGCUGGCAGCUGUAGCUCUGAUUAGACCCCUAGACUGGGAAUCUCCAUAUGCCUC